UACGUAGGUGGCAAACGUUGUCCGGAUUUACUGGGCGUAAAGAGCGCGCAGGCGGUCAGAUAAGUCGAAUGUGAAAGCCCCCGGCUCAACUGGGGAGGGUCAUUCGAUACUGUUCGACUCGAAGGCAGGAGAGGGAAGUGGAAUUCCCGGUGUAGUGGUGAAAUGCGUAGAUAUCGGGAGGAACACCAGUGGCGAAGGCGACUUCCUGGCCUGUUCUUGACGCUGAGGCGCGAAAGCUAGGGGAGCAAACGGG
rnacentral:rRNA from 1 species